rnacentral:rRNA from 1 species
GACGAACGCUGGCGGCGUGCUUAACACAUGCAAGUCGAACGAAGUGGCGAACGGGUGAGUAAUACGUGGGUAACCUGCCCUCCUUGUUGGGAUAAGCCUUGGAAACGGGGGCUACUACCAAAUAAAGGGGGAUGGGGUCGCGGCCUAUCAGCUUGUUGGUGGGGUGAUGGCCUACCAAGGCGGUGACGGGUAGCCGGCCUGAGAGGGUACACGGCGACAGUGAGACGGACAAAAGGCCCACGCGCGGAAGGGGGGGGGAAGUGGGGGAUAUUGGACCAUGGGCGAAGGCCUGAUGCAGCGUGGCCGAAGGGGGGAUGAGGGCUGUCGAGUUGUAAAAGUCUGUAGCUAGGGAACCGGUAGGUGGAGAAGAAGCGCCGGCUAACUACGUGCCAGCAGCCGCGGUAAUAC